GGGUCCUUCGGGACCUGAGUAAAGCGGCGCACGGGUGCGGAACACGUAGGUAAUCUACCCUCCGGCGGGGGAUAACGUUUCGAAAGGAACGCUAAUACCGCGUAAGACCACAGUGUCCACGGGCACAGUGGGAAAAGGUGGCCUCUCCAUGGAAGCUAUCGCCAGAGGAUGAGCCUGCGGCCCAUCAGCUUGUUGGUAGGGUAACGGCCUACCAAGGCGAAGACGGGUAGCUGGUCUGAGAGGAUGAUCAGCCACACUGGCACUGGAACACGGGCCAGACUCCUACGGGAGGCAGCAGUGGGGAAUAUUGGACAAUGGGCGAAAGCCUGAUCCAGCGACGCCGCGUGAGUGAUGAAGGCCUUCGGGUUGUAAAGCUCUGUGGGGAAGGACGAAAAAGGUAGGGAACAAUACCCCUGCCCUUGACGGUACUUCCUUAGCAAGCACCGGCUAACUCUGUGCCAGCAGCCGCGGUAAGACAGAGGGUGCGAACGUUGCUCGGAAUUACUGGGCGUAAAGCGCGUGUAGGCUGACCAUAAAGUCGGGUGUGAAAUCCCUGGGCUCAACCUAGGAACUGCAUCCGAAACUGCUGGUCUAGAGUGCUGGAGAGGGAAGCGGAAUUCCUGGUGUAGAGGUGAAAUUCGUAGAUAUCAGGAGGAACACCGGUGGCGAAGGCGGCUUCCUGGACAGUGACUGACGCUGAGACGCGAAAGCGUGGGGAGCAAACAGGAUUAGAUACCCUGGUAGUCCACGCCGUAAACGAUGGGUGCUAGGUGUCGCGGGUUUUGACCCCUGCGGUGCCGU
rnacentral:rRNA from 1 species